rnacentral:rRNA from 1 species
AGUGAACGCUGGCGGUAGGCCUAACACAUGCAAGUCGAACGGCAGCACAGUAAGAGCUUGCUCUUACGGGUGGCGAGUGGCGGACGGGUGAGGAAUACAUCGGAAUCUACUUUUUCGUGGGGGAUAACGUAGGGAAACUUACGCUAAUACCGCAUACGACCUACGGGUGAAAGCAGGGGAUCUUCGGACCUUGCGCGAUUGAAUGAGCCGAUGUCGGAUUAGCUAGUUGGCGGGGUAAAGGCCCACCAAGGCGACGAUCCGUAGCUGGUCUGAGAGGAUGAUCAGCCACACUGGAACGGAGACACGGUCCAGACUCCUACGGGAGGCAGCAGUGGGGAAUAUUGGACAAUGGGCGCAAGCCUGAUCCAGCCAUACCGCGUGGGUGAAGAAGGCCUUCGGGUUGUAAAGCCCUUUUGUUGGGAAAGAAAAGCAGCAGGUUAAUACCCCGCUGUUCUGACGGUACCCAAAGAAUAAGCACCGGCUAACUUCGU